AGCGAACGCUGGCGGCAUGCUUAACACAUGCAAGUCGCACGGCUGGGGAAACCCAGCAGUGGCGGACGGGUGAGUAACGCGUGGGGAUCUGUCUCCGGGUGGGGGAUAACCGUGGGAAACUACGGCUAAUACCGCAUGAUACCCGAGGGUCAAAGGCGCAAGUCGCCUGGAGAGGAGCCCGCGUACGAUUAGCUUGUUGGUGAGGUAAUGGCUCACCAAGGCGACGANCGUUAGCUGGUCUGAGAGGAUGAUCAGCCACACUGGGACUGAGACACGGCCCAGGCUCCUACGGGAGGCAGCAGGUGGGGAAUAUUGGACAAUGGGGGAAACCCUGAUCCAGCAAUGCCGCGUGAGUGAUGAAGGCCUUAGGGUUGUAAAGCUC
rnacentral:rRNA from 1 species